AUGGAGCUUGGGCUGAGCUGGGUUUUCACUGUUGCUGUUUUAAAAGGUGUCUAGUGAGAGGUACAGCUCGUGGAGUCCGGAGAGGACCCAAGACAACCUGGGGGAUCCCUGAGACUCUCCUGUGCAGACUCUGGAUUAACCUUCAGUAGCUACUGAAGGAACUCGGUUUCCCAGGCUCCAGGGAAGGGGCUGGAGUGAGUAGUAGAUAUACAGUGUGAUGGAAGUCAGAUAUGUUAUGCAUAAUCUUUGAAGAGCAAAUUCACCAUCUCCAAAGAAAAUGCCAAGAACUCACUGUAUUUGCUAAUGAACAGUCUGAGAGCAGCGGGCACAGCUGUGUGUUACUGU
rnacentral:lncRNA from 1 species